CCUACGGGAGACAGCAGUGAGGAAUAUUGGUCAAUGGCCGUAAGGCUGAACCAGCCAAGUCGCGUGAAGGAAGAAGGAUCUAUGGUUUGUAAACUUCUUUUAUAGGGGAAUAAAGGUAUCCACGUGGGGAUAUUUGCAUGUACCCUAUGAAUAAGCAUCGGCUAACUCCGUGCCAGCAGCCGCGGUAAUACGGAGGAUGCGAGCGUUAUCCGGAUUUAGUGGGUUUAAAGGGUGCGUAGGUUGUUUUUUAAGUCAGCGGUGAAAGUUUGUGGCUCAACCAUAAAAUUGCCGUUGAAAAUGGAAGACUUGAGUGUGUUUGAGGUAGGCGGAAUGCGUGGUGUAGCCGUGAAAUGCAUAGAUAUCACGCAGAACUCCGAUUGCGAAGGCAGCUUACUAAGCCAUAACUGACACUGAAGCACGAAAGCGUGGGGAUCAAACAGGAUUAGAUACCCCGGUAGUC
rnacentral:rRNA from 1 species